GAGUUUGAUCCUGGAUCACAACCAACGCUGGAGGCUGGCCUGACACAUGCUAGUCGAGCGCUUACCUUCGGGUGAAGCGGCUCGACGGGUUAUGUAACGCGUGGGAAUAUACCGACUUCUAACGAAUACCCACUGGAAACGGUGAGUAAUACCUUAUACGCCCUUCAGGGGAAAGAUUUAUCGUAAUUGGAUUAACCCGCAUUACAUUAAAUAGUUGAGGGGGUAAUGGCCUACCAAGUCUACCAUCUAUAUCUGGUUUGAGAUGAUGAUCAUCAACACUGGUACUGAGACACGGCCCAAACUCCUACCGGAGGCACCACUGGGGAAUCUUAUACCAUGGGCGCAAGCCUGAUCUAGCCAUGCCGCGUGAGUGAUGAAUGCCUUAAGGUCGUAAAGCUCUUUCCACUGUGAACAUAAUGACUGUCGCCGUAAAAUAAACCCCGGCUAACUCCGUGCCAACCUCCGCUCUAAUACGGACGGGGUUAGCGUUGUUCUGAAUUACUGGGCGUAAAGCGUACAUAGGCUGAUUAAUAACGUAGAGGUGAAAUCCCAGGGCUCAACCCUGGAACUGCCUUUAACACUGUUAGUCUUGAUAUCCUAGAGGUGAGUGGAAUUCCAAGUGUAGAGGUGAAAUUCGUAGAUAUUUGGAGUACACCAGUGUCGAAGCCGGCUCAUUGGCUCGUUACUGUCGAUGAGGUUCGAAAGUGUGGGUAGCGAACAGGAUUAGAUAUCAUGGUAGUCCACACUGUAAACGAUGAAUGCCAGAUGUCAGCAAGCAUGCUUGUUGGUGUCACACCUAACGGAUUAAGCAUUCCUCGUGGGGAGUACGGUCGCAAGAUUAAAACUCAAAGGAAUUGACGGGGGCCCGCACAAGCGGUGGAGCAUGUGGUUUAAUUCGACGCAACGCGCAGAACCUUACCAACCCUUGACAUACUUGUCGCGGAUUCCAGAGAUGGAUUCUCUUCAGUUCGGCUGGACAAUGUACAGGUGCUGCAUGGCUGUCGUCAGCUUGUGUCGUGAGAUGUUCGGUUAAGUCCGGCAACGAGCGCAACCCACGUCUUUAGUUACCAGCAUUUAGUUGGGUACCCUAAGGAGACUUCCGGUGAUAAGCCGGAGGAAGGUGUGGACGACGUCAAGUCUUCAUGGCCCUUACGGGUUGGGCUACACACGUGCUACAAUGGCAUUUACAGUGAGUUAAUUUCCAAAAGAUGUCUCAGUUCGGAUUGGGGUUUGCAACUCGACCCCAUGAAGUUGGAAUCGCUAGUAAUCGCGGAACAGCAUGCCGCGGUGAAUAUGUUCCCGGGCUUUGUACACUCCGCCCGUCACUCCAUGGGAAUUGGGUUUACCUGAAGGUGGUGCGCCAACUAUUUAUAGGGGCAGCCAACCACGGUAGGUUCAGUGACUGGGGUGAAGUCGUAGCAAGGUAACC
rnacentral:rRNA from 1 species